GUGGGGAAUAUUGCACAAUGGGGGAAACCCUGAUGCAGCGACGCCGCGUGAAGGAAGAAGUAUCUCGGUAUGUAAACUUCUAUCAGCAGGGAAGAUAAUGACGGUACCUGACUAAGAAGCCCCGGCUAACUACGUGCCAGCAGCCGCGGUAAUACGUAGGGGGCAAGCGUUAUCCGGAUUUACUGGGUGUAAAGGGAGCGUAGGCGGCGGAGCAAGUCAGAAGUGAAAGCCCGGGGCUCAACCCCGGGACGGCUUUUGAAACUGCCCUGCUUGAUUUCAGGAGAGGUAAGCGGAAUUCCUAGUGUAGCGGUGAAAUGCGUAGAUAUUAGGAGGAACACCAGUGGCGAAGGCGGCUUACUGGACUGACAAUGACGCUGAGGCUCGAAAGCGUGGGGAGCAAACAGGA
rnacentral:rRNA from 1 species